UACGAAGGGUGCAAGCGUUACUCGGAAUCACUGGGCGUAAAGCGUGCGUAGGCGGUUCGUUAAGUCUGCUGUGAAAGCCCUGGGCUCAACCUGGGAACUGCAGUGGAUACUGGCGGACUAGAGUGUGAUAGAGGCAGAUGGAAUUCCGGGUGUAGCGGUGGAAUGCGUAGAGAUCCGGAAGAACACCGGUGGCGAAGGCGGUCUGCUGGGCCAAGACUGACGCUGAGGCGCGACAGCGUGGGGAGCAAACAGG
rnacentral:rRNA from 1 species